CCUACGGGCGGCUGCAGUGGGGAAUAUUGCACAAUGGGCGCAAGCCUGAUGCAGCCAUGCCGCGUGUGUGAAGAAGGCCUUCGGGUUGUAAAGCACUUUCAGCGGGGAGGAAGGCGGUGAGGUUAAUAACCCCAUCGAUUGACGUUACCCGCAGAAGAAGCACCGGCUAACUCCGUGCCAGCAGCCGCGGUAAUACGGAGGGUGCAAGCGUUAAUCGGAAUUACUGGGCGUAAAGCGCACGCAGGCGGUCUGUCAAGUCGGAUGUGAAAUCCCCGGGCUCAACCUGGGAACUGCAUUCGAAACUGGCAGGCUAGAGUCUUGUAGAGGGGGGUAGAAUUCCAGGUGUAGCGGUGAAAUGCGUAGAGAUCUGGAGGAAUACCGGUGGCGAAGGCGGCCCCCUGGACAAAGACUGACGCUCAGGUGCGAAAGCGUGGGGAGCAAACAGGAUUAGAUACCCUAGUAGUC
rnacentral:rRNA from 1 species